UAAUUAAAUAAUGCAAUAUUUUUGUACAUUUUCUGAAAGUUUAGGACACUAAAAAAAAAGAUAAAUAAUUAACAACUCAUGUACGAUAAUAUGCUUCUCAACGGAGGGUUAAGUAUUUGUCUUUUCUAUUCAGUCUUUGCUCUUUCAAUAUUGCUCUCUGUUCAAUGUUACUCUGUUAUUUGACUCUUCCUAUUCUACUAGUAAUACCGUCGUACUUUCCAAUUGAAAGUUGCUACACUUCUGCUUCCUCUUUACGUGAAAAUGGCCGCGUUUUAAAUAUUGCUCGACAUCGAUAUCGAGUCAAUUUUUUCGUGUAUGAUCAUUCGUCCGUCCGUGCGUUCGUCAGAUUCAUUUGUCGAUUCGUAUCUGUCGUUUUUCUUCCUCGAUACGUAGCAUAGCAUAUAUAUACGUGGAUAAUUAUUUUUUAGUCGAAGUGAUUGCUCCCUUGAUUCUGAUCACGCACAUAUACAUUUUCUGUAUGUACAUGUGUAUGUCGAUCUUUUUCAAACGGUCCUAUUUGAAAUCGGGGAAAUUAAUUUUACAGCAACGCAACGUUUUUUGAAAGAUUUUUCUGAUUAACGCGUCGGUGAACAGCGAAUUAGCGUAUCGAGAUACGAAAGAUGUUAAGAAAGAAUAACAUAACACACAGUAGAGUCUUCUGUAUUCAAACAGAAAGACAAAAGUGUUCGUUUAAUCGAGUUUUUUCACCCUUGUCAUUAAAUUAUGACAUGUUACUUUAAUACAGUUGGAAAUUAAAAUACUCUUUUCGUAAUAUAUGAAUUUCUGUUAUAUCGAAUCUAAUGAAAUAACUCUGUUUAUGCUUCAAGCUCUCAUCAUUUUCAUUUGUUUCACUUUGUGAAAAAAUCAUAAAUGAUUUAUCAUUGGAAUUAAAUCUUUUUAGUAAAAUCUUGUAUCAUAUUUUGCAAUUGCGAAAAACAACGUAAAUUAAUUCAGUGCAAGCAAAGCUGGUUAAUAAACAUUUUGUUCGAAUAACGGAAUGUUCGGACAUGAGAUUAUUCGGAUAACGAGAGUUUGGAUAUGACGAUUUCUAUUUCGAUUUUUCUCUUUUCUUUUGAACGAUCGUUUACCUGUGGCCUAACGCGUUUCACGAAAGUCAUGAAAGUACGUUUUAAAUUAAAUUCAAUCCGUCUCUUACGAAAGAAGAUCUCUCUAUUGAGUCUGCAAUAUUUGGAGGAACUAGUACGAAGCGCUUUAUUGAUCAGACGAGUAGAAUUAGCAUAUAAUAGCUCAGACGCGACACGACGGGACGCGAAAGCCUCGUUUCCUUCCAGACGAAAAUCAUAAAUAAUACGAGAGAGAAUCGUAUAAACGUCGACUUAACUAGCCGUGUCCGAAUCGAAAUUUACAAUCCACCGUUGUUUUCCUCGCCUGGCUAUCCGCACCAUUCGUCUUCGCUAUCUACCGGCCUUUUUACCGAGAACUUUUUUACCGAGAAAUUUAUUCGACAAGUUAAAUACGUUGUUUCUUACGCGCAUUCCUUUCUCGCACUAUUAUCUCUUUUCUUUCACCUUUCAACGUCCUGAUAAAAUACGAAACGGUAAAAGUCGUUGUUAUCUCUAAGCGAAAUUAAACGUUUGUCGGACGAAAUGGAUCGUAGGUGAGGGAGAAGCGAGUUAAGCGUAUUUUCAUUAAUCCAUUAAGGAGCAAGCAGUAAUUUAUAUCAUAAUGUUACAAACAUCUCAAUUUUGUUUGAAUUUCGUAAAAUUAAAGGAACCAAGCGGAGGACAUAAUGACAAAGACUUUGGACUUUCUUUUGUACAGUUCGAAUAUUAAAGAAGUAGAAUUUGAUAAUAUAAUCUGAUUUAAAAGAGUAGCAAAUGAAGUUGGUUCUUAAUGGGUUAAAAAAAUUGUCGGUUGCAACUAGAAGAAAGUUUGUUCUCGAACGAAUUAUGUAUGAUUCGCGUGUGCGUGAAUCGAGGCUACGUAAAAGAUAAAAAAUGAAAGCAAAGAAUUGGUUUGAAGAGAGCAAGAGAGAGAGAGAGAGAGAGAGAGAGACGCGGUGUCGUUUCAUCGUAACAUCGAGAAACGACGACACGUAGUGAUUUACCUUACGUAAACGGGUAGCAAUCAAGACUCAUAGAAACCGCCGUAGCAUUUUAUACUAUAUGUACGUAACAGGAACGUGAUAACGCGAUUAACGUAGAAACGCAGAGUCGUAUAAUAAUUUGUAAGCCGUAGAUGUAAUAUUUCGAAGUUAAGCGAACGAUCAACGAACGAUAGACGCGUACGCGUUUUCGAGCGAAAAAGUGUCCUCGACCGUCAGCGUGAUCGAGAAUUUGACUUUGUCUAUUGAAUAUUGAAUUGAAAGUAUGAGCGGCGCGCUCCCAGACAACGAAAAACGAAAAUAAAUGUCGAGAUGAUGUGUCGACACGCGUGAGAGGACGAAGACGCGAUG